GGUAGAAAAGCUAAAUAAAAGAUUGAACUCAAAUUGAAUAGUUAACCGCCCAAAUUGAUAAAAAGACAAAGCAUAAACUGCUAUUGUCACAAGUUCAAUCUACCGAAUUAAUUGACCAAAACUUAAGAGUUUCAACCAAAGUCUGAAGGUUCAAAAUAAUUGCCCAAGUUGCUCACUCAAAAUAUAGUUCAGACAACACCAAAGUUCACAUUAGGUCGACCAAAGUUAAAGAAGGUACAACGAGAAAGUGAAAUAGAGGACAUGCGUGCUCACUAGAAAAACAGGUUUACUACGACCAAAUUUUAUAUUCGGUCGAUUGAAGUUAAGAAAAUCACAGCUGAAUUUAAAACAGAGCAACUAAGUGCUCUCUAGAAUUGAAGAACAACGUCUAUCAAACUUGACAUUCGGUUGACCGAAAGGAAAAAGCCCUCGACCGAAGUUAUAAAUCACUUAGUAGACAGAAUGAACAAGCCAUUAGAAUUUCAUUACAACCACGAUCGAAGUUCAAGGUCGGUUGGCCGAAGGUGUCGAUUGAAGUUCGAAAAGUUGAUCCUGAUUGUCCAAAUAAAGAUUUAACGGCUGAGAUUCAAUCAGAAUGACUAGAUCAGAAGUAUCAAAUUCUGUAACGACUCUAAUAUACUUUUGGCUUAUAAAUACAAUUUUGGGGGUUGUUGGUAAUAUAUUGAAGUGCCAUAUAUUUUUAAAAUCACUUGUAUUCAAUACUUCAAUCCCUUUAUCAUUUACUUAUGAGUUUUGAUUUGUGAGAGUUAGAUCACUCUAGACAAAAAGAAAGUUUCAUUAUAAUUAUCCUUGUUCUAGAAUUGGUUAGAUAAGAGUUACUUUAACUACCACAGCUUGUUGGAAAAAUCAAUAUAAGUUCUAGUGUUUGUAAAGGUUGUGAAGAUCAAUAUAGUUCCCAAGAGAUGGAGUCUCUUGAACACUAGAAGAGUUCUAGUGUUUGUAAAGGUUGUGAAGUACCCGCAAACUUGAAGAUAAUAAAUUUUCAAGGAGAAUCUUAAAGAGUAGACGUAAAUCGAGAUUUGUCAGACCACUAUAAAUCUACGUUCCAAUCGAGUUUUAAAAAACAAUUAUAACUAAACAACGUAUAUUGCAAAUAACUAAACAUCUUCUAUUGUAGAGCACAACUUAUGUAAAACCUUGAUAAUUCAAACAUAAAAAUAAGCUUUUUAAGAUGUUCUUGACCCACAAAUAAAAAGCAAAAUUUGUGACGAGCUUUCUAAAACAUGAAAAAGCGAAAACUGCAACCACCAAAAUUGUGGGCAAUACUCCGAGGAUUCUUAGGGCAAGUAUUUGACGCUGACCUGGAACACAUGUCUCGCUCUUUGAUUAAAGCAUAUGCUCAAAUCACAUUUUUAAAGAUAAAAUCACGCUUAUUUUCAUUAUUUUACGAAUAAAAAGUUUUAAUACAUCAUUACUGCACUGUCAACACAAUUGUGAUUGGAGAGGGAAAUUUCAUUGUUUUCACCAAGUCCAAGUCUACUACUGUUGAGUUGUAAACAAAUCCAUAGUAUCAAGACCAAACCCCCCCAGUUCCCAAAUCAAAACACUUGGCCUUGAAAUAUGUUAAAUCAACAAAUUUUUUUCCAUGCAAAGUAAGUAGUGCGGUUUUGUGGAGGUUGCUGGUGAAUGAGUUAAAGGGUAUUUUUUUUAACGACCUAGUUCCUUUAAAGUUGGAAUUUGGAUUGCUCCAGUGCAAUUCAAAUUUUUUGAGUUCACUUUUGGGCUAAGUUUGAUCAUUCAAAAUGUUUAUAUUGUAAACUCUAAUGUCAAGAUCAGUAUUACAAAAAGAUCGCGUUGAUCGAACACAAUCUAGAAUCCGUUUAUUACUGUCUCAUAUUCGAAACUUCUGAAGUGUCAUCAAUUUUUAAUUUGGGUUUAAAUCCAUUGUUAAUGGACAGUGAGAUUAAUUCUUUAAAUUAGUGGGUCCUUGAGACAGAUACCGAAUUAUUAAAAAUAGUAUAUUUGUGGAAACUAUUAGUACAAUUAAUUUAUUAGGAACGAAAGAGAUUAGGAGCUUUUAGUCCCUGCUCUUUUACUCCUACUAUCCAUUGCCUUCAAAACAAAUGAAUGUGUGUAUGUUUUUAUCACUUCAAUCCAUUCCUAACAACCCCAAGGGUUAAUUUUAAAAGUUCCAAAUUGGAUAGAGACGUUGCAUCAUUAAUUGCACUAAAAAGAACCGUUCUGAUUUGAUUUCAGUCAUUGGAUCUGAGAUUUUGAUAUGCUAGAGUGAAAUUUAAAAGUUCGGUCGUGUACUUUCUAAACUUCGGUCGACCGAACUUUAACUUCAGUCAUGUUUGAACUGAAUCUCUAGUUGCUAAGUUAAUUGCUCUAUUUUACUUUCCUGAACUUCGAUCGUCCCUAAUUUGGACUUUAGACUUCGGUCAACUAAAUUUUAAGUUCGGUCGUUUUUGUACUGCAUUUUCAGGGGUUUGCUUAGAUACUCUGCUUCAUCUUUUGAAUUUGGCUUCUACCUUAAAGAUUCGGCUGUGCUCUGAACUUUGGUCGUGUACUUCUGAAUGUUCGGUCGACCAUUAAGUUGGAUUGUCAUUAGCUUGUUUUUCCAGAGAGCUUUUACUUACAUUAUUAAUUUGAGAGUUCCUAGCAUUCGGCUGUGCUUUGGGACUUCAGUUCUUGAACUUUGGUCGAUCCUUCUUGGACUUCGGUCGCCUCUGAACUGAGUUUCCUGAGAGCAUACUCUGUUCUUAACAAUAAUCUUUGUUUUGCUUGUGUUAGCAUUCGACGUUUCAAAACUCUUUUUAGAUCUACCCAAGUCUAUUUCUAAGACCACCCUUUAUUUUUUCUUUUUAUCGAUGAUUUUCAAACGCAACUUAGUUUUAAUCCUUUUGUAAUCAUCAAAAUUAAUUACUUUAUUUUAAUAAAUAUAAUUUAUUUUGUAAAAGAAAAGUGUAAUUUUUUUGAUGGUGUCAAUUGACCCCACGACCAUUGUGACAUAUACCCCGAGGAUUCUUACGGUAAGUAUUUUAGGUUGACGGAACACAUGUCUCAGUCUUUGAGUAAAGCAUACGCUCAAAAUCACAAUUUUUAAAGAUAAUUCACACUAUUUUUCAUUAUUUCACCAAUAAAAUAGUAUCAAUACAUCACUACUGUCAGCACUAUUGUGGUUGGAGAGAGAAAUUUGAUUAUUUUAUCAAGUCCAAGUCCAAGUCCAAGUCCAAGGCCAAGUCCUGCUGAGUUGUAAACAAAUACAUAGUGGCUCAAGACCAAACCCCACAGUUUCCAAAUCAAAACACUUUGGCUUUGAAAUAUGUUAAAUCAACAAUUUUUUUCCACGCAAAAUAGUUACUGUGGUUUUGUGGAGGUUGUUGGUGCAUGAGUUAUGGAUAUUUUUUUAACGACCCUGUUUCUUUGAAGUUGGAAUUUGGAUUGCACAAGUGCAAUUCAAGUUUUUUGAGUUCACUUUUGGACCCUGUUUGAUCAUUUAAAAUAUUUAUAUUGUAGACUCUGAUGCCAAGAUCAGUAUUAAAAAAAGACCACGUUGAUCGAAUAAAUUUAGAAUCCGUUCAUUACUAUCCGGAUUCGAAACUUCUUAGGUGUUACUAAUUCUUAAUUUGGGUUCAAACCCACCAUUAAUGGACAGUGAGAUUAAUUUUCUAGAUUAGUGGGUCCUUGAAUCAAAUACCGAGUUAUCAAAAAUACUAUAUUUGUGGAAACUAUUAGUACAAUUAAUUUGUUAGGAAUGUAAGAGAUUAGGAGCUUUUAGUCCCUGCUCUUUUUGGCCUACUAUCCCUUUCCUUGCAAACAUAUGUAGUGUAUCCCAUCUUUAAAAUUUUAGAACUCAGUAAUUUUCUUGUAAGUUGUAACUCAUUAGUAUCCACAAGAAAUAUCAAAAAUAGUCACCUCUCCGCCGUAAAAACUCUUUGCCACGGAAGGACUAGGUUGGCAAUUGGUGGGGUUGCAAUAACUUUUUGCGUUGACAUCAGACCAUGGCAAACACUGUUGCUACACUUUUCAACUAAUAAUCCCAAGGCAAAAAAUAACAGUAUAAAUUGUUACUCUAAAACAUUAAUCCCUCAUGGCUUAUAAAUUUUCAACAUGGUCUAGUCAAAUCCAUAUUACUAUUAAAACGAAAGAUGUUUGUCGACUUUUCAAUUCCCAAAAUGCCCUUGGUUCAAUAAAAAAAGGAAUAUUGAAGUUGUGAUUUUGUUUUUGAGGAAAAAAAAAACUUACUCUCACUUAGACACGUAAAACCAAGCCUUUUAUUUUACUCCUCCAGAAUUCAUUCUAUUCAUUCCAGCCAUAACAGACAACGCUUCGGUAAUCCUAUCAACUCCAUUGUGUCUUCUUCAAUUGCCCAAUAGCUUCUUCUUCACUCUUAUCUUCGAAAGAAACUUUCCCUUGAUUGUUUAUGCUAUCUAACCUAAAAUCAUUCAGAGAGCAGGAGAGGUGGAAAUAAUAGCAGCUUUUCUAAAUGAACCCUAUUAUUUAGGAGAUGUCUUUCUACUUGGGAAGUGGAGCAAACAUAGUCUACUUCAAAUGAAAAUUGAGGAGUGGAUUCCGGUUACGGAUAAGAAUGAUUCUCUCAAAUUGAAAUGUUAAAGGAUGCAUAUAAAUCAUAAUAUUAAGUCUGCCUUGGUGUCAAAUUGUGAUAUUUAGUAAGUUAAAAAGAGGAUAUUCUUAUUCAAGGGAGGAAUAAUGAUGGGGAUGUCUUUUCAUCUCUAGAUCAGAAGAAUAUACAACACAUUUACAUCUAUAUUAUGAAUCUCCUCUCUAUCCCAACUUUAAAAUCUUCCAGAUAUAUUAAGAAAGCAUCCCUAAUAAACUUGGCAUUGGUCCAAAAUCGUGUAGCAUUAAACCUUAUCAUGUCCCUCUCUUUCAUCUUUAAAAUCUUCAAGAUAUUUCAAAAAAACAUCCCUAAUGAACUUGACAGCGGUCCCAAGUCGUGUAGCAUUAAAUCCUAUUGUGUCCCUCACUACAAUCUUUAAAAUCUUCAAGAUAUUUCAAGGAAACAUCCCUAAUAAACUUGACAAUGAUCCAAAGUUGUGUAGCAUUCUCUCCCAUAUUUAAAAUCGUCAAGAUAUUUUAUAGAAACAUCCCUAAUAAACUUGAUUGUGAUUCAAAGUAGCGUGUUAUGUCCCUCUCUUUUAAAGUAUAAUUUAUUUAUUUAUUUUAUUAAUUAAUUCCAGAUAUCAAGUCAACACAUGGUAGGCUUUUAAAAUUACAUUUUGUGGCUGAAGAUGGUACCUUGUCAUUCAAAAUAUUGACCCUUGCCGAUGGUGUGAAUUGACUGCAAGCGGAGGACAAUUACACACAUUGUCUUGGCCUUGGGAUAUUUCUCAUCUAAACUAAAAAUUUGGACUGUAAAUGGUGGCAGUUGACAAAAUGGGCCCAUCAAUGGAUGAGUACUAACAAAAGAAUUUAUUAAAAACCGAAAGAUCUCUUAAAAAAGCCAAAAUUUUGGAGACUUGUUAGACAUAUAAUUUGGGGCCAAUUUUGAACAAAAACAAAUGAGGAAUUCAUACGUCUUUUUAACCGGAUCCAAAUUCGAAUAUGCUUAUCUAUGUGAGAUGAUUAACAUCCGAUAUUUUUUUUAUUCAAAACGAAUAAAGAGUGAAUGAAAAAUUGACACCAAAAUUCACUAGUUGAAUAUUAGGUGAAGAAUGGUUAAAAAAAUUGUUCCGCAUUGGUCAUUUAUGAGACCUUUAGUGGGUUUACAGGCUUCUCCUUGAACUUGGGCUUGGACUAAGGGGCAACCAGGUUCUGUGGAGGAGGGAGGACCUAGCACCUUAUGUGUUGACCUUUUCAAAAGUUUUUAUUUUUCAGCACCUUAUUAUUUUUUAUAUAUGAUUUUAAAGCGGUUCAAAAGUUUCUUAUAGUUGUGGUAAUUGGGUCCUUUCAUUACGUAGUUCGGCCAUAUGCUUACGUAUAUGGGCAGUCAAAUGAGCAAAAACUUUCAUUAACAAAUUAAACGAUUGCUCUGAAGAGUUACAAAGGAGAAUUGUGUGAAGAACUUUCUCUCCAAAGCCCCACCAAAAUCAAAUAUAAAUUUUCUCCAAACCUUAACUAGAAUCAAACCAAAAACUUUGUCAAACAAAAGGAUUAAAGAUUCAACCAAAGUCCUCAAUUGUGGCACCAAAGGAACUACAAAGUUCGUCCAAAUACUAAGGGUCAACCCAGUCCCCUAUAGGGGGCUUCAAAGGAACUAUGAAGUUUAACAAAUAUGAGAGUCUUUCCAAAUUUAUAACUAUGGAAUCCCUCAUAAAAAGAUAGUGUAUGGAAAUCUAUUACUUUCUUGUAGUGAUUUCUUUUAUUUUACUUUUUGAUUUAUUUCUAAAAUAUGCAGGGUUCCAUUUUAAGAGUUCGCUUAGGAAAAGCUUAGGGCCGGCCCCUGAUUAGAUUCAUGUAUAAGUCAGUAAAUAAAGAGAUUUCAUGCACUGUUGAUUCACUGUGAAAACAAAUUGAAGUAUUUUAUUUGUUCAGCGUACAAUCACUGUAUUUCAAGAGACAGACAUCUAAAACAGUAAACACAGUGAUGAAGGAAAAUUCUGCAUUCAAGGACAUAGUGUUAAACACGAGCCUUGAUUAUUCUCCUUCGAAUUGCUCAUUGCAGAUUCUACAAUUAUUUAUACAAAGCAUAUCUUCUUCUGCAAUCAGUCUUUUGUGUUCAAACCACAGGAUCUGUUUCUGAUUUUGUCUCUAAAGUAAUUGUUGUUUCCAAAACAGUUUUGUGUUAUGUUUAUGCAAAAUUAGAGUUUUUAAAUAAUUUAGUUUCUGCAAAUUAAAUCUGUUUCUAUAAUUAUAUAUAUCCAAAUGUAUGGAAUGAUUUUUCCUUUUAGCUCUCAUUCAUAUUGAUACUAGCGGAGGUACUAGACCUCAUAGGAAUCAAACUAAGUAAUUGUGGGGUUGUUGUUAUACGAAAGGAGGAGAGGAAAUCGAGGAUAGACACCCGCGGUGGUCCUAGAGCUGCGUGGGUGGCUCUGGCCUCCUGAGCGACUGACUUGUGAUGCCUUGCUUGUGAGCACAACAACAGUAAGAAUGGUCGCCGGAGUUGUUUUUGAGAAAUAGCUCUCUGACGGUCAAGUUAGACGUCUAGAAUCAUAGAGAGAGAAAGUAUGUGCAUCUUUGUUGGAGUAAAAUUUCACAUGCGUCUAUGAGAACAACCGUGUUCUCCUUUAUACCUAGACUCAGCACGUGACUCGACGUUUGCUGUGUCAGUGAGUGGGUGGCUGGCCAAGCAUCUAUGGCGUGGCUAGAAGCUUACCAUCAACUGUCGGCGUCUCCAUUAGGGCAUGGAGGCUGUCAGAAGGCACUUGCCAUGCAAAUUACCUUUUGUCCCCAAUCAUCCUUUGGGAUUAGCACUAGCCGUUACCCCUCGCCCAAGCUUUUAGCGCAGUUAUUAUUUUGAGGUCGCUAAGUAGCAGCACCUUGGGGGUAGGGAUGGGCUUAGCUCGGGAGGGCAUUCUUUUGUAGUGGUGAUUCUCCGAGCUCCGGCAUAGUGGGUCUCCGAGCUCGCCCCGUGGC
rnacentral:lncRNA from 1 species